rnacentral:misc_RNA from 1 species
UCUCGGCUUAUCACGGGCAGUUCCCCUAAAGUGCCCAGCUUGACCUGCUGGCAACCAAGGGUGUGGGUUGCGCUCGUUGCCGGACUUAACCGAACAUCUCACGACACGAGCUGACGACAGCCAUGCAGCACCUGUCUCCCUGCCCCUUGCGGGGAAACCGGCUCUCACCGGCGGUCAGGGGAUGUCAAGGGUUGGUAAGGUUCUGCGCGUUGCUUCGAAUUAAACCACAUCCUCCACCGCUUGUGUGAGCCCCCGUCAAUUCCUUUGAGUUUUAAUCUUGCGACCGUACUUCCCAGGCGGGACACUUAAUGCGUUAGCGGCGGCACCGAGGGAGUGGAUACCCCCGACACCUAGUGCCCAUCGUUUACGGCGUGGACUAC